UCGUCAGGCGGAGCCCCUCAGCCCGCCGUCCGCGCUGGCCUGACUGGCAUCCCUCGUGCCGACCCUGCGGCCUGGGACGGGAGCCGGCAGCGGCCCCUCCUCACAUUUCGGGUCUCCGGGCCGAGGCUGAGCAGUGGCCGCUGCCCCACGACAGGCUGAAGGCGAGGACUGGGGCUCGGGGAAGCGGGGAGGUGCUGGCACAAGCCACGCCACGCACAGCAACGGAGGGGAGAUGCCCCCCUACCGAGGAUCCCAAGGAAUUCUCCGUGUCAGCAAACAGCCUGGCAGCGCCAGCGUUGGACCCAAACUGAAGAGAGCUGACCAGGACGGAGCAAAUCACGCUAGAAAAAUGUUUAAAAGCCAGUUAAGUGUCCUUUGCAUACGAAUAAAAUCAAACCGUAAUUUUUUUAUAAUUACAAAAUUUCUGAGCUGAAAGUGACUACGUUUUCAGAUGUAUUUCUAAAUCACUGUUUAUACUAAUGAAUGCAGACAUCAAUUAAAGAAGCAUGUUUGCAUUGGUUUUCAAGAAAAACUGAUCCUCCCAAGAUUUAAAACCUCUAGAAAAUAGGAUGAAACUUGAGCUUCUCUGCUUUCAGAAACAAUAUGUACUUUUUGUUGCUGUGGGUAUGCUGCAGUCAUCAUACUUCAGAAAUCAUUUCAAACAACAGUGUUAUUAAAAUGUCAACAGCAGACUAUUCAAAAGACAUGAAGACCCUAAUACCUGUAUUUUGUCACAAAGCCAGAUAUUUGUAGUACUAAACUAAAUCCAGCUAUUGGUCAAGUUUGUUCUCAAUUUGCAAAAAAUGAUGUUAAAAGUACAUAUGUACAGAUAGUAAACAUGCUCUUUGGUUGAUUCAUUAUAAUUCUCAAAUUAAAACAAGAAUCCUUGAUGAUCAAAAUUUUUUUCUACAUACUGUAUUGGUGUUUUAAUAUUCUCACCAAUCCAAAAGAUAAGAGGAGCCAUUUAGAGCACUGGUGCUUUAAACUACAUAAACACUUCCAUUUGAAAUUUCUUAGAUAACAUAACUCAAAUAUUAUCAAUGCAAGAUAUCAAGUAGUCUGGAAAAAAACACACUUAUACAGAGCUGGUGUGAAACCUUAUUCCAUUUUUACAUCUGUCAAAAUUUAUACACACAACAAAUCUACCUAGAAAAAUUAAAUCAGGCUACUUUAAACACGUUGAGAAGAAGGCAGAAUUAUAGAAUUCCCAUACCUUUAGAGGUCAUUUAUAUUAUAGUCUCCUCUGGAACUUUAUUCCAAAGGAAGUUAUUUUAUUCAAGAUCGUAAACCAAAAUGUGUCAAACCAAUAAUAACUUGCAUUUACCAAAAAAUUUUAGCCCUUUCUUUUGUUCAUAUUUGAAGGUUUUUCAUUCAUCUGAGCAAGAUUCACAAGAAGCCCCAAUGAGUGCAUAGAUUAGACUAAUCCUGUUUCCUUUGGGGAGGCAAAACUUGGGCUGAAGUUUUUUUAUUUAGUAAGCUUAGUAAGUAAUCAAUAGAAAAUUUUGCCUGAAUUAAGCUGCCCAUAUGUUGGCUCAUUUAGUUAUUUAUUUAACUCUUUCAGAAAGAAUCUCAGGAAGAACCACUGUCUACACUUCUUAGGUUUAACAUUCUUAAAUGCUUGGGACAUAAGUGAGUCACUCUCCACUAUGUUCCUAAAGAGACUACAAAAAAAGGAGAAUGCCUGAGAGGGGGAGGUUGUCAGAAGUGGGUUAAAACUAUAGGGAGUGGAAAAUGCCUCAAACAAGUUUUUAAUUUUAAUUCAAUAGGAUGUGUGUUUUAUAGAGUUCAAAGGGUUCAACAGUUUUUUUCCUAAGAAUAUAAUAAGCUUGCUGUUUUUAAAAUUACAUCUAGAUGUAUUCCUUCUCUAGGAUAAUGUUUUAAAUAUUAAAGAGUUUUUAAUUUUUCCUUGCACUUUACACAGAGUAAUACAGCCUUAUUUGUAUCCACACAGGAUUGGAACAGAGCACUUAACUGCACUGAUACAUUCAAGAUUAAGUUGUUAGCCACAAACCUGCCAUUACAACGGAACAUUUAAAUGACACACACACACACACACACAUCCAGAAAACAUAAUUUGCCUGACACUUCAUGACAAUUCAAAACAUAAUUUAUAACAGUACAGGUGUUAUGGUAGAAAAAAAAGAAAUGAGAAGCGUAAUAAUGUCUGCAGAUGUUAGCAAGCCAAGGGGAGUUAUAGUCUAUUAUGCGUUCCCUACAAUCCAAUCAAUGUAACUGCUCAAUCUGUACUAUUAUUUAAGUAAUGGCAAAAUCAUUGACUUAUUCAUAAUACUUGCUAAUUGUUUUAAAAAAUAAAUUCUACAAAGGACAAAGGAAACAUCCAUUUCCAUUUGUUUUAUGUUAAAUCAACAUCUAACCACUCAUGGUGAUUUCAUUCAAAGAAAACAGAAGGAACUCAUUAGCUUAUGUGAUUUGAGAGAUUGAUGGGCUUCAAACAUUUUAACCAUACAUGUUUUUUUUUCCAACUGUAGAAACUCAUGUUUUUAAUUUAAGCUACUUUAAGAAACCAAAGAUUAUUUUAUUCAAUGGGUUCACAUAUUUCUCAUACAGAAAUUAUGCUAAUUUUAAAGCUAUUUACAUCUAGGCAUCUUUGUUGAAAGUGAUGAGGUUACUGUCAAAAUACAAUUAUGAAUAACAAAAGAAUUGGUACCAAUUUAAAAAAUCUGAAGAAGGAUGAAAAUGGGCAUGGUUGCAAAAUAUUGUGAUUAGUAUAAGCCAACAGAUCACAGUGAGUAACUUCUUCAGUGCCCUACUCUGGCAAACUUGGAUAUAGAUAAGCCAGUUCUAAAAGGGGCUGCAUAGGGGUGGGCCUGGGUGGGGCAGGGAGGAGAUCCAGGUCUUGACAGAAGGCCAAAAAUUGUGUGAAGUUCGACCUACACGCUGUAGAGAACUACCAAUGGGGGUAAAUUGUAUUUAUUAUUUUUGCCUGUGAUGAGAGCUCUGUGAGAGUUCUAAAAUAAACAAAUAAAAAAAA